rnacentral:lncRNA from 1 species
AUCUCGCGGCAGUUGAUUCCUAGAGGUGGAAUCCAUUAAACUGACAAAGCCCCAGUCCCGGGGUCCUAAUAGUCGGGACUAUUAGGUCAUCCUGGGUACUCAGGCCUCUAGACUCUAGACUGAGCUGCCUUGGUCACUCGGGGACAGUUGGCAGAGUAUUCGUGGUCAGGGAGGUGACCCGUGGUCAGCAGGAUCAGGCCACCCAGGGACAAAGGGUGCUUCUGCGCCAGGCCCUGGAGAAGGACAGAGCGGUGGGGACUCGGGGUCGGCCGCAGAUAGGGGAGUCACCACCUGCCGGCAAUCAGCCAUGACUGCCUUUGCACUGUCCAUGCUCUCAGCCCACCACCUCCUCCCCCUGCCAUUGCAGUGGCUAACACUGGAGACGAAGACCAAGACACCACCGCCUUUCUCCAGUACCACUCAAAUCAGCACAGGCAAGGACAAAGGCCUCAAUCCACAACUGCUGAAGAUGGACCCUGGCCACAUGGGAUGGUCAGACACGCCUGCCCAGCUAUCUGCAGGCGAAGAGGCUCAGAAGAGGUUUAGGGGCCUGAAGGACAUCUUGCUUCCAUGUCCAUAUGAGCAGGCUAUUUCUGCUCCAUGAGUCAAUUUUGCCAUAUAAAAUACUUAAUUUCAGCCAUUCCAGGGUGCUGUAGGAUGCACAGCUUCCCAUCAGCCCACCUGAACUCCAGCCAUGCCAUUUUAAUACCAGGAAUAAGGUCACCUGCUUUCCUGCCCCUUAGGAGGCCAGAGCCGUGGAAGCAAAAUGGCACUUCUGUUUACCUGUUAUAUUAUUUUUUUGUCAUCCUUAUAUGCUUGGAAAAUGCAAUUAUAUGAAAAAAGUUUAGUAAUUACAGACAUAACAGCAGAAAGUCCUCGGAACCAAGCUUACUCUCAUGGCCGAUUCUGCUCCACCUGGGACUCUGCUGUGCUGCGGGCAUCCUGUGGUCAGAAUCGCAGAGGGGCCAUCAGGGAGGGCCUUCCCAGAGGAUGGACCUCACGUGACUGCUGCGUGGGCAAGUGGCACUGGCCACUCUGCCUGGAGAGAGGAGUAAAUGCAGGGCUGGCCAGGCGACCUGCACACUCUGCUACUGGCCUUGUCCAUCUUUAGCCUCUAAUUUGAAAAUGAGGCUCACACAGACCAAGAGUAUCUUUGAGGGUUAGUACAGACCACAGAAAUGCCCUGGGCCUUUCACUCUCUCCUUUUGCAAAUUCCCAUGUGUGGAAAUGCCGUUUGGAUAAUGAGGGAGCCUGAAGGAGGUGGACACAUGAGCAGCCCCGACAGGCCUGGCUCCAUCCUCUGAAAAUGGGGCCCCGUGCCCGGCGUGUGGCCUUACUGGUUCAGUCUUCUUUACAGUGGUAGGUUUUGAGUGCCCAGAUGCCCAGUGCCUCCUACCUGGAACAGCACAGGAUCUGGCAGACCCCUGGAAGAAUCACAUGCACACUUAAAUAUUCAGGGAGUUCCCACCCAGCAGAGCUCGCCUCUGUGGCUACCUUGGUCUUGCUGCUGAUAUCUGCCAGAAAAGGCCUGGACUUGGAGACAAGCCUGGGAUUUACACUCAGUCCUUCCCCAUCUGGCUGGUUCCAUUUCCUUGGCUCUCACUGCUGGAAGUCUGUGCUCCUGAACAUCAAGUCAGAGGGGGCAUCUGAAUGCAGGGCAGGGAGCCUCAGAUGGGAAGAAGUCAGAGGAACCAGAAUGUGUCAGAAAAUGCCAAGUCAUGUGCCUGAGCUCAAAAGUCAGCUGGGCCACAGGCUGGCUGUGUGAUCUUGGGCAAGUUCAACCAGCUUCUUUAUACCUCUUUUCUUGCCUCAAAAUGAUAAGAGAAACCACUUCACUAAUACACUGAGGGCUGCUAUUAAGUUCUAUGUACAAAGACCCAUGGCAGGCCCUAUGCCCUUCGGUGAGCACUACUCCUCCUUACAAUUUACUGCCAGGAACACUGGGCAAGAGAACUUCAGUGGAGCAGGGAUUGGCUGAGCAUGAGCCAGGGUUGGGGGAAGUAAAUAAUGGGCUGUUGCCAGGGCCUGAGCCCAACAGAGAAAGGCUGUGUGCAGAGGGAGGGCCUCAGGUCCUGGGGCUCCUCCUGGCCUCUUUCGUCCCGACUACUUCACACCCUCCUCUAACAACGACUCCCACCUCCUUUUCCAGCUCUCCUUGAUCCUGCUCAGGGUGGCGCCUGCUGUCCCUGGUCCCUUGGUCCCCACCUGCCUCAGUGCCCCCCAGUCACAUCUGCUGUUUCUGCCAUGGGUCAGCAGACAGGGUAGGGGUGACUGGUGGUGCAGAAGAAACCAUCUGAGAGGGGGACCCCAACACGGACAGGGCACAGACGGGGCUUCCACCAAUCUCAGUGGAUGAAGAUUCUGUCCCUGCCAUCCCCGCAUUCUCUCCCUGGUCUCAGAGGCCCUCCUGGGUCUCCAGUUGUCCUCUCUCCCACCUCCACACUUUCUUGUUCCAGUCCUGCUCUUGGAUUUCUUUAAUAAUUUUCCUACCUCCAAGAUCCCCUGAUGAUCAGUUUCUGCCUGGGGUCACCAGGCGACUGACCAUGGUGGGGAUGGUGACUUGAGACUCCUGGACCACAGUGCAGGUGACAUAUGCAACCUACAGAGUGAAAAGGAACAGUGUCACUGCUGGGUCAUUUUGAAGAUGAGGCUUAGGUAAUGGAUUAAAGACUUAAAUGUUAGACCUAAAACCAUAAAAACCCUAGAAGAAAACCUAGGCAAUACCAUUCAGGCCAUAGGCAUGGGCGAGGACUUCAUGACUAAAACACCAAAAGCAAUGGCAACAAAAGCCAAAAUUGACAAAUGGCAUCUAAUUAAACUAAAGAGCUUCUGCACAGCAAAAGAAACUACCAUCAGAAUGAACAGGCAACCUACAGAAUGGGAGAAAAUUUUUGCAAUCUACCCAUCUGACAAAGGGCUAAUAUCCAGAAUCUGCAAAGAACUUAAACAAAUUUACAAGAAAAAAUCAAACAACUCCAUCAAUAAGUGGGCAAAGGAUAUGAACAGACACUUCUCGAAAGAAGACAUUUAUGCAACCAAAAGACACAUGAAAGAAUGUUCAUCAUCACUGGCCAUCAGAGAAAUGCAAAUCAAAACCACCAUGAGAUACUAUCUCACACCAGUUAGAAUGGCAAUCAUUAAAAAGUCAGGAAACAACAGGUGCUGGAAAGGAUAUGGAGAAAUAGGAACACUUUUACACUGUUGGUGGGACUGUAAACUAGUUCAACCAUUGUGGAAGACAGUGUGGCGAUUCCUCAAGGAUCUAGAACUAGAAAUACCAUUUGAUCCAGCGAUCCCAUUACUGGGUAUAUACCCAAAGGAUUAUAAAUCAUGCUGCUAUAAAGACACAUGCACACGUAAGUUUAUUUUGGCACUACUCACAAUAGCAAAGACUUGGAACCAACCCAAAUGUCCGUCAAUGAUAGACUGGAUUAAGAAAAUGUGGCACAUGUACACCAUAGAAUACUAUGCAGCCAUAAAAAGAAUGAGUUCAUGUCCUUUGUAGGGACAUGGAUGAAGCUGGAAACUAUCAUUCUGAGCAAACUAUCACAAGGACAGAAAACCAAACACCACAUGUUCUCACUCAUAGGUGGGAAUUGAACAAUGGGAACACUUGGACACAGGGUGGGGAACAUCACACACUGGGGCCUGUCAUGGGGUGAGGGGAGGGGGGAGGGAUAGCAUUAGGAGAUAUACCUAAUGUAAAUGACGAGUUAAUGGGUGCAGCACACCAACAUGGCACAUGUAUACAUAUGUAACAAACCUGCACGUUGUGCACAUGUACCCGAGAACUUAAAGU